rnacentral:rRNA from 1 species
GACAUAGGUCGCAAACGUUGUUCUGAAUUAUUGGGCGUAAAGGGCGCGUAGGCGGCCGGCCAAGUCGGGUGUGAAAUCCCUCGGCUCAACCGAGGAAUUGCAUCCGAUACUGGCUGGCUGGAGUCCGGAAGGGGAUGGUGGAAUUCCCAGUGUAGCGGUGAAAUGCGUAGAUAUUGGGAAGAACACCGGUGGCGAAGGCGACCAUCUGGACCGGAACUGACGCUGAGGCGCGAAAGCCAGGGGAGCGAAUGGG